UACGUAGGGCGCAAGCGUUGUCCGGAAUUAUUGGGCGUAAAGAGCUCGUAGGCGGCUUGUCACGUCGGGUGUGAAAUCCCCGGGCUCAACCCGGGAACUGCGUCCGAUACUGGCAGGCUCGAAUCCGGGAGAGGGAUGCGGAAUUCCAGGUGUAGCGGUGAAAUGCGUAGAUAUCUGGAGGAACACCGGUGGCGAAGGCGGCAUCCUGGACCGGCAUUGACGCUGAGGCGCGAAAGCCAGGGGAGCAAACGGG
rnacentral:rRNA from 1 species